rnacentral:rRNA from 1 species
AGUGUACGCUGGCGGCGUGCCUAACACAUGCAAGUCGAACGAUGAUUGAGGAGCUUGCUCCCUAUGAUUAGUGGCGCACGGGUGAGUAACGCAUAGGUAAUGUGCCCCUUAGUCUGGGAUAGCCACUGGAAACGGUGAUUAAUACUAGAUACUCCUUCUUGUCACAGGGCAAGUCGGGAAAGUUUUUCGCUAAGGGAUCAGCCUAUGUCCUAUCAGCUUGUUGGUGAGGUAACGGCUCACCAAGGCUAUGACGGGUAUCUGGUUUGAGAGGAUGAUCAGACACACUGGAACUGAGACACGGUCCAGACUCCUACGGGAGGCAGCAGUGAGGAAUAUUGCACAAUGGAGGAAACUCUGAUGCAGCAACGCCGCGUGGAGGAUGACGCAUUUCGGUGUGUAAACUCCUUUUAUUAGGGAAGAUUAUGACGGUACCUAAUGAAUAAGCACCGGCUAACUCCGUGCCAGCCGCCGCGGUAAUAC